ACAGGGAGCCACCAUACCUUCCCAACCCCAUAAAAGUACCUGUUCAGCUACUGUUGGAGAACCAGUUGGCAGAACCUCUUCAUGCCAUGCUUUCCACCUUGUGCUCCAACACAAGACCCCCAACGAAUCUUGUGUGGGUUGCACAUUGGCCUCUUGUGCGUUGAUACUUGCAGGUGAGCCAAAGAACCUGGGGUCAGUAACAUGUUUCUGGUUGGAACCUGGCAAAGGGAGUAUUUCCCCUUGGGGAAGGUGAGGGUUGGUGGGUGUACAGACAGAUGGAACCCUCUCUCAGUGGGGCACUGGCUGCCUGUGCCUUUGCUUCAGGGUCUCUGCUGUUGGAGAGUUCUCUGACCUCCCAGAAUCCCAGCUUACCUCACCCACUGUUUUUCUUUCCUCUCACCUGUUUUUCUUUCCUCUCUUUUUCCUCUUUAAGUCCUCGGGCUUGGUUUUUGGUUUUAGUUUUGGAUUUUGAUUUGAGGCACCUUAGCAGACAUCAUGUGGGGUGGGUUGGAACUGUUGGCUUCUGGCACUGAUCACGCAGCAGGGGACAGGUGGGUUGCCCCUGUGCACUCUGGUUACUGGGUAGAAUCAACACAGCUGACUGCUGGAGCUGCAGCUUUGGUUUUGGUUUUGGUUUAGUCCUGUCUGAAAACUCCCAGUCGAUGUCCUUUUACUCUGAUCUUGCCUCCCAGGACAUCAUCUUGCUCCUGCCCUCCAGCCAUGGCUCCCACUACCUGCAAGGUGGCUGGAACUUCUAAGCCAUUCAGAUUCAGGUGCCCCAUGGAUAUCACCCAGCAGGGAUCAUGGAGAACUGGUGGGGAUCAUCCCCUACCACACAGAGUCCAUAGAGGCAGAUUUGAGAUUUUUCCUCCUGAUCCUUCUGCCUCUCUGAUCUUGACUAUUACUUUGUUUCUCGCUGCUUAUAUCUGCAGGUGGGUCAGGACCAGGGUGCUUGUAUUCAUGGAUAGCUGUCCACUGGUGGAGACAAUACCCAGUCCCAGGACCUUUAAUAAUAGACCACAGACUCCAUUGAAGGGCCCAUAUGGGAAACACUUCAAGUAUCCCAGGCACUGUCCCUGGGUUGCAUCUUAAACACUUGGGAACAGUUUAGGUUGGAUGGCUAAAAAGGAAAAAGUUACUUUUUAUUCAACAUGGUAUGACCUCAGUACAAGGAGAGGAUCAAGAGACAUGGCCCAUGAACAGGUCACUAAUUUAUAACACCAUUCUUUAACUGGGUUUUUGUGUUUUGAGGGAAAAUGUGGAGAAAUUCCUUGUGGUCAAGAUUUUUUUGAAGCUCUGUCAGGACCCCAAGCUUCAUGAUUCCUGUUGAGGCUGCAUGGCUGCUGUUCCUAGGCACCCCGUCCUGCAGUCCGUGACCGUUAGUUACUGACCUCAUCUUUAGAACCCCAACUCCUUGACCCCCAUUGGCUUCUACCACUUUGUCCUCAUCCUGUUGGCAUCCCAGACGCUAACCCUGGUGUCACCUCCUCCAUGCCUUCCACCCCUUCACAACCACCAUCAGGAACAACCCACCUGUGUCCCCUUCCUGAUGGGCCUCCACUGGGCUGCAGAAACAGCUGUCUUCUCUCCCACCCCACCUUCUACGACCCAGACUGCUUUCUUUUAAGAGGAGUAGCAGGUGGGGAAGGUGGAGUCCCAAAGUCCAUGCUUCUUUCUCAGUAACUGAGCUGGGACUACCUCAAGAACAGUUUAGCUGUCUUUCUGAGAUAGUGGAGGUUUAGGGGUGAAUUUACCAAGCUAAGUUUGACCCUCUUACUAGGCAAGAUAUUGUUGUUUGUUGUGCCCCCAGUGCAUUUCCUCAAGAAGGCCAGAGAACGAGCAACCAGUUUUGUCACCACUCAGUAUCCCAGGUAGGGACAGAGUGGUUCCAGAUCAGGAACACAGUGGGAUUGUAGAUCAGACUGAGAGACAGGAUGGCACAGCUUAUUGCCUUAUAACAGAGGGGAUGAAAAGGUGUGUGAUGCAGCCUGUUAAUUAUGACACAGUUAACAGGGACCAUUCAGGAAAAGGAAGAGAACCAGCCAGCUUUUUGGGCUGGCUCACCGAGGCCUUUAGGAAAUACAUGAGCACAGAUCCCGACUCUGCUGAGUGUGAGCCUUACUUGCUGGGUGUUUUAUUAUUCAGGCAGCCCCGACAUUAGAAGAAACAAACACUGAGGCAGGACCUCAGACCCGAUUGUUGAUCAUGGCGGAGGAGGACUUCAGGGUCUUCCAGCAGUUGAGACAGGACAGAGGAGAUGAGCAGAGGUAAUAGAUUGGCUAAAGUGGUGCAGCUUUCUGCUGCCCUGAUUAAUUAGCCACUCCAGGAGGAACCCCCAAAAGCCCAGAAGACCAGACAACCAGAGAGGGUACACCAGCCACAGAUGCAGCCAGAGUGCCUAUUGCAGGCUAGAGGGCCACUGGGGGACCCUGGCAAGAGACCCCUCCUGGCCAGCCUCUUGGAUGGGAGGCAGGCAGUCACCUCCUGAUGAGACCCAGGCACCUGCUCGGUUCCGACUUCAGCACGAUCCUUCACCAUCACUCCAGCAGAACCCCAGGCACUCUAGAAGUGGCAGGUAGGGGAACUGAGUUCCUUGUGGACACCGGAGCCGCCUACUCUGUCCUGACUCAUCCUGUCGGCCCCCUCUCCAACUGCGACUGCAUGGUAACAGGUGCAGACAGUCAACCUAAGGUAAGAGUUUACUUCCCCCCUUGCCUAUGAGACCAGUCUAACCCACUCCCUUUUAUAUGUUCCUGAGCUAAACUUGGGGUUGCUGUCUCCCUAGAAAGGACCAGGUACAAAUGAUGGUGAGCCAUCACAGGCAGCUGCCUGUCAGUACUUCUCAACCCCAAGAACCCAGAACAUGCCAGUGUUCCUGAGAGUGUUAAAGAUCAAGUAGACCCAUCUGUAUGGGACACUUCCACCCCAGGGCUAGCCCAUAACAUUUCCCCAGUAGAAUAUCCGUGAAAGAGACAGUACCCAUCAGACAGUGGCCACGAAAGGAAUCUGCCCCUGCUCUGGAAGUCCCUGGAGCUUGGAUUGAUUAAGCCUGUCAGUUUACCCUGCAGCACCCUGGUUCUCCCAGUCAGGAAGCCAAAUGGGGAGUACUGCUUAGUAUAGGACCUGUGGGUAGUGAGUGAGGCGGUUUUUCCUGUCACUAUGUUAUCCCAAACACAUACACUCUACUUACUCAGAUACCUGGAGAGGAAAGGUUCAUUUAUAUACUGUCCUGAACCAAAAAGAUGCCUUUUUAAAUUAAUUCCUCUUAACUCAGAGUCCUAAUACCUUUUUGCCUUUGUGUAUAGAAACCUGGACACUCGGGAAACUAUACAGUCCACUUAUACCAUGCCUCCUCAGAGUUUCAGAGAUAGACCCACCAUUUGGGACCAUCUUACAGAACUGAGAGAACUCACCCUAAAAAUGGUCCUUAGUAUCAUAGGUAGAUGGUUUGUGAUCACCAGCCCCUCUCAGUGAGAUUCUGAUUAUAAUACUAUAAAAAAUAAAUAAGGUACAAAGUCUCCCCCUCAAAAGCCCAAGUUUGUCUACAUGUAGACCCAGGGUCUUGUGUCCUAACUGUGGAAUAGAAAAAAGCAGUUAUUUCCUGUUGGUGCCCAAAACUAGGACAGCUUCAGGGAUUCCUGGGAAUGUCAGGUUUCUGCUGCAUCUGGAUCCCAAGUUAUGGAUUAUUGGCAAAACCCCUAUGUGAAGCAUGAAAGCAUGAUGAGCAAGUACCUCUGGAACCCGGAAUGCUAGCAGGCCUUGGAGGCCCUACAGCCAGAGCUGGGCUACGCCGUGGCUCUAGGACUUCCAAACCUAGAAAAGCCAUUCAUUUUUAUGUCUGGUAGGUUAGGAGCUGCCUUAGGAGUUCUGAUUCAAAGGCUAAGACCUAUCCAGAGACUGGUGCAUUCUUUUCAGAACCACUGAGCUCUCUGGUUCAGGGAUAGCCCAGUUGCCUAAGAACAGAGCUGCCAUUCCCUUGUUGGUCAACAAGGCCUCUAAAUUGAUGCUGGGACAACCCAUAGAGGCACAAACCCUUCAACAGGUGCAGACAGUGUUAGAAGUCAAAGGGCACCAUUGGCUGACAGGAAGAAGACUUCUACCAGAUUGCCCUGACAGGUCUGUCAGACUCUUAAACCUGAACAUACGUCCACCUUGCAGCCCAGGUGAGGGGCCCGCAGCGUCAGUGUGUUGUCCAGCCCAGGUGAGGGGCCCGCAGCGUCAGUGUGUUGUCCAGCCCAGGUGAGGGGCCCGCAGCGUCAGUGUGUUGUCCAGCCCAGGUGAGGGGCCUGCAGCGUCACUGUAAGACAGACCUCCUCUAGCAGGCCUGACCUCUGGGACGAGCCCCUCGAGAACCUGCGUGCUGAAUGGCACACGGAUGGAAGGGCUGUUACAGAGGGAGCAGUGUGGGUGGCAGGCUAUGCUGUGGAGAGUUUAACUGAUGCCAUAGAGCAGGAGCACUAUCACCCCAAACCUCAGACCAAGAGGACAAACUGAUCGCUCAGAUUCAGGCCUUAUAAUUGGGAAAAAGUAAAACAUUCAAUAUUUAUACCUAUUCAAAGUACAGGUUUCUGGUAACUGCAUGCCCACACCACCCAUAUGGUAGGAAAGGGGAAUGUCAUGAGCUGAAAACUCUGGUAUUAAACAUGAAGACCUAAUCAUGCUUCUUUGAGAGGCAGCUCAGCUUCCUCAGCAGGUGGCAGUUGUUUACUGAGAGGAUGCAUCCAGCGUGGACCAGGGAAACAGUAGGAAGAGAAGGCCACCAAACGGGGGAGGGGGAUCAGCCUGCGGAGCCUGACAAGGUGCUGACCCCAAUAAUAGAUCCUUCCACGUUCCCCAGCCAUCCCCAGUAGCCCCAGCAAGAAUAUGAGGAGGCUGAGGUUGGGAUACGAGAUGAGGAUAUCAGUGGUUCCUCAAAAAUAGUGGAGUUCUCCCAGGAUCAGACCAACAGAAGCUCAUUAAACUCUUCCAUGAUGCUGCCCGCUGUGGGAGAGAGAACUGGUAGAAACUGAUCUAUGGGGUCUUUACAGGGAAAAACCAUAAAGUAGGUGACCCUGCCCUGUGAAGUCAUGUGUCCACAAUAAUCCCCCAGACCAUCCUGUCUUACCUUCAUUGAUAAAACCACUCCACCAUGGAGGGACACACCCAGAAGACUGACAGAUGGGUUUUACAAGAUGCUCCCUAGAUCUGGACUCCAGUACUUUUUGGUGUUCACCUGUACCUUUACAGAGUGGAGGGUGCCUUCCCACUGCACUGAAAAGGCCGUAGAACUUUGUAGACUCCUCUUUUGGGAGAUAAUCCCUCAUUUUAGACUCAAUCCCUCCAGAGUAAUAAUGGGCCGUCCUUCCUAGCAAAUGUUGCCCAGACCCUCUCAGGCCCCCAGGAAUGUGCCAUAAGUUACAUGCCUCCUGGCUCCCCGAGUGUACUGGAAAGGUUGAGCAAAUGAAUCACAUCCUUGAGAAAACCAUAGCCACGCUCUGCCAAGAAACACACAAACCAUGGACCAAAAGCUUCCCAAAGCAAUCCUCAGGGUCCACACUGCCCCCAGGGGUGUGAUGUGUGGAAGACCUUUCCUUACCACUGACCUCACUGACAGGGGCCUGAUCAACCCGGGACAGGUCGAGAGUCAUCCUGGAACAUGGAGCGCAGGUUUGCCAGCUCCUCAGGAGACAUCAUCCCAUGCCCAGUUUCAACCAGGGGACCAGGUUUUGCUUACAACUUAGAGUGGAAAGGACCAUUAUUGAGGGAUCUUGGCCACCCUUACUGCAGUAAAAUGCAAAGGAGUCCCCAGCUGGGCCUACCUCUCCCAGUAAAGCAGGUCUCUUCUAAGCCCCAUAGGCCGCUCCCAAGGAGCCCACCUACUACUGCGAGCCAGUGAUGGAGCUGAGACAUCUCCUCAAGGGAAGAACAGAUGAGCUCCAGCAGCUCUGUGUCAGGCUGACACUGGCUGGGGCUGUCACCCACCCCUCCAUCAGAAGAGCCAAGGUCUAAUUGAGGGCAAGGGAUUUUACACCUCCAAGGUUUAGAGUUCAGCUGUCCUUCCUCAGCAGACAGCACUACACACGAUGAGACCUUUGUCCCCCUCUCCUUAAGCUCUUCCUGACUUACUGUGUGUCCAUCCCCAGCUCCAAACCAGUCAGGAACAAGGACUAUCUAAACCCUGACUGCAGAAGAUCCCCUACUGCCAUGAUAGGAACUUCCCCAGUCUGCAUGCCUGCCCAGAACACCCCUGGGUGACCCGUAUGUGGCCUUCCUGGGGUGAUGGUAGUGAGUAGCACACUGUUUUUUGAGUGUGUCAUGUGUACAGAAACCCAUAGUCACCUACACAGAGCACUGAGCUAAGUGCAAACCAAACGAAAAUGGCAUGUGCCAAGGAGAAUGAACCAGAAGUGCAGUCUGGGUGCUGAUCCACACGCUGUGUGUGGGGAGUUCACACCUCCUCAACCCUGUAAAAGUACCUGUUCAGCUCCCGUGAGGGAGUCGGGUGGCGAAACCUCUUCUUGCUGUGCUGUCUCUAGUGUUUGAGGAUAAGCCCCCAGUAAGCCUUGUCUGGGUUGCACGGUGGCCUCUUGCCAAAUGCUGCUUGCAAGUGAGUCAGAGAACCUGGAGUUGGUAACACUUCCUCCUCGGCUGUGCCUCUGGUGCCCCAGUGUGAAGACUGCUUUCAUUGUCUCCCAAGAACCAGCCCCUGAUAGUACCCUAGGGUGGGAGCACUGAGAAGAACCAGGGGAUCCAGAGAUUGCCCUCUUUGUUUAGUUCCCUGUGAUGUUGCCAUAACCAAAGGAGCCUGGUCCUCAACCCUGGACUUUCUGGAGAUUUCUCUGUGUAGAUAGAGUUGAGCCUCCUGUGGCUAGCUCAGCAUCAUUUGUCUUGGGUUGGCCAUGGCAGUUAACCACCUGCCCAUCUGUUUUCUGUCUUGUAAGGUUUUGUUUUGGAAUGUUGUCUCUUCUAUGAUUCUCUCUUUGUCUUUAAAAAUAACUUUACUGAGAUAGUAUAUAACAAGAGUUUACCCUGUAAAGUAUUAAUAAGGGUCUUCAAAAUGUUCACAGGAAUGCAUAUUUUGCAAAAAGCUAUACAUGGAAUUCAAAAAUGUUUUGUAUCAAGACUCUAUCUCUUAAUUCCAUUUUCCAUGAACUUCUUGAUGUACCCUCAUAUACUUUAUUUUUUUAAAGAUUUGUUUAUUCGAAAGUCAGAGUUACACAGAGAGAAGAGAGGCAGAGAGAGAGAGAGAUCUUCCAUCAGAUGGUUCACUCCCCAAUUGGCUGCAACGGCCAGAACUGCGCCAAUCCAAAGCCAGGAGCUUCUUCCGGGUCUCCCACACGGGUGUAGGGGCCCAAGGACUUGGGCCGUCUUCUACUGUUUUCCCAGGCCAUAGCAGAGAGCUGGAUGGGAAAUGGAGCAGCCAGGUCUUGAACUGGUGCCCAUAUGGGGUGCCGGCGCUUCAGGGUGUUAACCCACUGAGCCACAGUGCCGGCCCCACCCUCAUGUACUUUAAAACGUACAUAGUUCAGUGGCUUUAGUAUAUUCAGAGACUUGUACAACCAUGAGCAUGGUCUAAUUCCAGAAUGUUUUCAGCAGCACAAAAAGAAACUCGGAUCCAUUUGCAGUAGCCCCUGGCAACCACUGAUCUACUUUCUGUGGGUUUUCCUAUUCUGACCAUUGUAUAUAAAAGGAAACAUGUAAUAUAUGUAACUGACUUCUUUCAUUCAGUACAGUGCUUUCAAAAUUCAUCUCUGUCAUAGUAUAGAUGAGUACUUUGUUCUUCUUUAUGACUGAGUAAUAUUCUAUUGCAUGGAUACAGCACAUUUUCUCUGUCUUUUCAUCAGUGAGUGGACAUCUGGGUCUUGUAGCUUGUGCAUUAAGCAACUCCAUUUCCAGGAAUGAAGUUUCAGGAAAGAGGACCCCUGGGUAUAUGUGUGUGUGUGUGUGUGUGUGUGUGUGUGUGUGAGAGAGAGAGAGAGAGAGAG